rnacentral:rRNA from 1 species
UACGUAGGGUGCAAGCGUUGUCCGGAAUUAUUGGGCGUAAAGAGCUCGUAGGCGGUCUGUCGCGUCGGCUGUGAAAACCCGGAGCUCAACUCCGGGCCUGCAGUCGAUACGGGCAGACUGGAGUUCGGCAGGGGAGACUGGAAUUCCUGGUGUAGCGGUGAAAUGCGUAGAUAUCAGGAGGAAUACCGAUGGCGAAGGCAGGGUCUCUGGGCUGACACUGACGCUCAUGCACGAAAGCGUGGGGAGCAAACAGG